rnacentral:rRNA from 1 species
GAAUCUUAGACAAUGGGGGAAACCCUGAUCUAGCCAUGCCGCGUGGACGAUGAAGGCCUUAGGGUUGUAAAGUCCUUUCGCUGGGGAAGAUAAUGACGGUACCCAGUAAAGAAGUCCCGGCUAACUCCGUGCCAGCAGCCGCGGUAAUACGGAGGGGACUAGCGUUGUUCGGAAUUACUGGGCGUAAAGCGCACGUAGGCGGAUUAUUAAGUCGGGGGUGAAAUCCCGGGGCUCAACCCCGGAACUGCCUUCGAUACUGGUAGUCUAGAGUUCUGGAGAGGUGAGUGGAAUUCCGAGUGUAGAGGUGAAAUUCGUAGAUAUUCGGAGGAACACCAGUGGCGAAGGCGGCUCACUGGCCAGAUACUGACGCUGAGGUGCGAAAGCGUGGGGAGCAAACAGG